rnacentral:lncRNA from 1 species
UCUGGGGUGGGGCCUGAUGGUUUGCAUCUCUAACAAGUUCCCAGGUUACCUUCAGCCUCCUGGGUGGUGCUGGAGUUGUUGUUCUUGAGACCACACUACCCCAGAGUAACAAAGAAGGAAGCCGCAUACAAAAACCCAUCGAACCAAUGGGGAAUGAACAUAGGUCAGAGUCAGAGUCUCCCGGGAGCUUGGUAAGGAGCAAAGCCCUCUUGGGAGAUGCAUGCACUCAAGACCUCAAAAAGCAGAGCUGAGAGAAUUAACAAAGGCUUGGUGGGUGAAGGUUUGGACUGAGGAGGCCAAGCUGUGUUUACAGAUGUGUUUAAGAUCUAAGGUCAAAGUGGAGAUGUGGAGGACAAGCAACAUGAGAGGCCACGGGCAGGACCUUUGUUUUCACCUAAACAGUCAGUUUAUCACCUUUUGAUCACAAACCACGGUGAGAUAGAGCAUUUUACCCUGGGGACUCCCUGUCAGACACAUUUUCUAUACUCAUGUGCACAUACGUUUGUAUUCAUUGGCCACAGAGCUUCAUGAAACAUUUCCUAGGCAUGCUGUGCACCACGGGUUUUCCUCCCUAUUCCACAUGGUUCUAUACUACAGGGAGGCAGUAUGCAGAGUGGUCAAGAGCGUGACCUCUGACAUCAGGGUACCUGGGCUUUAACCACCUCCAGCAGCUUAACCUCACUGGGUCCCAGCGUCCUCACCUGUAAAACAGGGAUGAUGAUGGAAAUCCUGGAGAAGAGCGGGAAGCCUGUGAAGAUGGCUACAACAUGGCGGUGUGUUUGGAUCUCUGCUUACCCAAAGAGGAGACGGGGGUGAGACUCCAACGAGAUGGCUAGUGAAAAAGUGUCUGCAGGCCGGUGGGGGAUAGAGUCGACGAGCUCAGAGUAGGACAUGAGUCAUUUUCUUGAAUUUCACCAGAUGAAGAAAGGGAUUUCAGGUGGGUCAUGGAACUUCCUGAUCUUUCGAAGAAGAGUUCUCAGAGUUCAAGCUGUUUAUCUCCACCAGUCCGGGGAGUGUGACGGACUCAGCAAGUUUCCAACCUUGGUAUUCAGACCCGUAUCCAGGUUGUUAAUAUAUAUAUAUAUAUAUACAUGUGCUGUGUGCUGCUGGCCUCUCGGUGCCAG